rnacentral:lncRNA from 1 species
AUGCCCCUCCCGACCACAGCAGGUGACUGUCAUGGGCGUCCCAGGAGGAGGCGCGGUGUGGAGGGACCGGCCUGCAGCGCCAGAAAAGGCAGCUGCCGCAGAGUUGAAGAGCUCAUCUUAAGAAGAGUCCCAGAGCAGAGAAGCCUGACUUCUGGUUACAAGCACAGGGAUGGGGCUCCCCAGGCGCAGCCAGCAACCCGUGCUAUGGGUGCAGUGGUCACCACGCGGCAGCCGUUCAGGUCCCUCCCUCCCUUAACCAGAUGCUGUCAGCCUGUGGCUUCUGUUGGUUUUAUUGAACAAGAGCCACGGUGGGAGGGAAGACGAGUUUGUUUAGCCUCCACUUUCUGCCGAGCGGCUCGGAGUCUGAGUACAUCAGGGUAGCCAGGCGUGAUGAGCAUGCAUGGUGCACGGUCAUGUUGGUCUGUGCUCCCACAAACUGAGAGGUCUUUUAAGGAAAUCCCUCCCCAAUCCGGAGUUGAGUCAUCUGGCUUCCAUCUCUGGGCUCUUUAAAUAACCAGAAUCUCAAAUUAGCCAUGAGAAAGAAACACACAAAAACACCUCUUUAUGAUAAAAAGGGAGACAGAACCCCAAAGCUGCCACGUGGGACAGAGACUGCUCCGUUCAUCACCGUUCCUCUCUCUUCCUGCACCUUCCAGCGUCUUGUAUUCAUGGAAGGCAAGAAUGAGCUGGAACAGAAGCAGGAGAUGUAGGCCAUUCGCCGGCGGUGCCGCCACCACUCCAGAGAUCCCGAAAUAAAGACGGUUUUUCCACAAAACAUUUGCUCGUAGGAGAUGCAAAUGAGAGAUAUUUUUAGGAAAUAUUAAUGCACUGAGCUCUAAUUUGCAGACUGCAAUUUACUUCGUCCCCUCCCCCACCUGGAGCCAUCUGAGCGCUUGGCUCCUUCCUGGAAAAAUUCUGCUCUGGAAUAAUGACUUGGUUUCCUCACAGGAAGAAUGCAUGCGUAUUGUCAAGAGGCAAACAAUACCGAAAGUUACAAAAAAAGAAAGCAACAACAAACCACAAAUGUCACUGCCAGACCCCUUGCCCAGAAACGCCCCUCAUUCAUGUCGGAUGAGGCCAGGCCCUGUGCAAGAUGUGGACAGAACAUGCAAGCUGAUUGUUGAGUAGAUGGGAAAGUUAAGGAUUUUCCUUGAAUUUAAUAGAAGAAAAAGAAAUGGAGUAAAACUGAAGGACUGCUGAACUUCACAUAAAUGAAUCUUAUCCCAAGAAAUACUUAUCCCUCAAAGACAGCCAGGAACCCCUGAAAAAGAAAGUCUAGUUCCGCCACCUGCACCCCUUCCCUGACAGCCUCAGCCCUGCUGACAGCACAGCGUCCUCCAGCGGGUUGUGCUGGACAGACACAGGGUGGACGAGAAGCCCUGAAGGAGGCCCAUGCACCUGGGAGGUCAGCAUGAGAUAAAGGGGGUGCCUCAAACCUCUGGAGCACAAGUGGACUCUGAAUAACAGGGUGGGGGUGCACACCAGAUAGGCUUGGAGAAAAGAUGAGAGGUCUGCCUCACGCCACACACAAAAAUACACUUCAGCGGCUCGGGAACCCACGUGCAAAACGGGAGUUCAGACAAGUCCUGGAAGAGGACAUGAGUGCAUUCUUCCGUCACCUGGGUGCGGGGGUAGACUAUGACUCAAAGAAAAGAAAAGAUUGGUAAAUAUGGGUAUAAAAAAGGAAAAAUAUUUUGCACAGCCAAAAGAAAACACCAUAAACAAAGACCACUGAAAAACUAGGAGAAAAUAUUUGCAACAUAAGCCACAGAUGAAGGGCCAAAGUCCUUUUUUCUUUUCUUUUUUUUGAGACAAAGUCUCGCUCCAUCACCCAGGCUGGAGUGCAGUGGCGCCAUCUUGGCUCACUACAACCUCCACCUCCCAGGUUCAAGCAAUUCUCCUGCCUCAGCCUCCUGAGUAAGUGGGAUUACAGGUGUGCGCCACCACGCCUGGCUAAUUUUUUUGUAUUUUUAGUAGAGACGGAGUUUCACCAUGUUGGUCAGGCUGGUCUCGAACUCCCGACCUCAAGCGAUCCGCCUAUCUCGGCCUCCCAAAGUGCUGGGAUUACAGGCAUGAGCCACCGUGCCCAGCCCCAACAUCCUUAAUAAAUGAAGAACUCGUACAAAUUGACGACAAAGGACCAGAAAUCAGAUAGACAAACAGGAAAAGGACAUAAAGAGACAGUUCCCCAAAAAGAUUAAAAUGAGCCUUAAAUACUUUGAACCUGUCCACUCACUCAUCCUUAGAGAACGCAAACUUCAACCACAGCCAGGUGCUGCCUCUCAUCCACGAGACCGCGCAUCCAUCUGCCGGGCUGUGGGAAGCAGGUCCCAGUCCCUGACUGGGACGCCACUGGGUACCGCCCUCUCAGAGGGGCGCUGGCAACACCGAACAAAACGACAUGCACACUUGCCUUUGACCCUGGGAAGAUGUCUCCAGUUUCCAAAACGAAGACACCUGUGGUUGACAUCCUUCCUUUGCAGCGCUGUUUGUAAUAGAAAAAAAAAAUUGGUGACAAUCUGAGUGUCCACAUACAGGUGGGCUGGAUGGUGCCCACAGGUGGAGAGGGGUGAAGGGAGGAAGUGUGGACAGAGGUCAGGGGGGAAAGUGGAAUGGGGGAGGGUGGGGGGCAGUGGCAGCUGGUGAGGAGGGGGACAGGGGAGUGGGCUUUUAACCAGGGUUGAGGAGAACACAGAAGAUUGGCUGGGUGGGUGGUAUGGAAUCUGCACUUUGGGAAGCCAAGGUGGGUAGAUCACUUGAGAUCAGGAGUCUGAAACCAGCCUGGCCAACAGGCUGAAACCCCGUCUCUACCAAAAAAAAUCCAAAAAUUAGCCUGGCGUGGUAGUGUGAACCUGUAGUCCCAGCUACUCAGGAGGCUGAGGUAGAAGAGUCACUUGAACCUGGGAGGC